UUGAACGCUGGCGGCAGGCCUAACACAUGCAAGUCGAACGGUAACAGGAAGCAGCUUGCUGCUUCGCUGACGAGUGGCGGACGGGUGAGUAAUGUCUGGGAAGCUGCCUGAUGGAGGGGGAUAACUACUGGAAACGGUAGCUAAUACCGCAUAAUGUCGCAAGACCAAAGAGGGGGACCUUCGGGCCUCUUGCCAUCGGAUGUGCCCAGAUGGGAUUGGCUUGUUGGUGGGGUAACGGCUCACCAAGGCGACGAUCCCUAGCUGGUCUGAGAGGAUGACCAGCCACACUGGAACUGAGACACGGUCCAGACUCCUACGGGAGGCAGCAGUGGGGAAUAUUGCACAAAGGGCGCAAGCAUGAUGCAGCCAUGCCGCGUGUAUGAAGAAGGCCUUCGGGUUGUAAAGUACUUUCAGCGGGGAGGAAGGGAGUAAAGUUAAUACCUUUGCUCAUUGACGUUACCCGCAGAAGAAGCACCGGCUAACUCCGUG
rnacentral:rRNA from 1 species